rnacentral:rRNA from 1 species
UACGUAGGGUGCAAGCGUUGUUCGGAAUUACUGGGCGUAAAGCGCGCGUAGGCGGGCUUAUAUGUCGAUUGUGAAAGCCCUGGGCUUAACCCGGGACGUGCAGUCGAAACUGUAAGUCUUGAGUGCCUGAGAGGAUGGCGGAAUUCCCGGUGUAGUAGUGAAAUACGUAGAUAUCGGGAAGAACACCUGAGGCGAAGGCGGCUAUCUGGCGGUGCACUGACGCUGAGACACGAAAGCGUGGGUAGCAAACAGG